CUUUUAUCAUGGCUCAGGAUGUACGCUAGCGACAGGCUUAACACAUGCAAGUCGAGGGGCAGCGGGGAGCGAAGCUUGCUUUGCUCCGCCGGCGACCGGCGCACGGGUGAGUAACACGUAUGCAACCUGCCCCUGUCUGUGGGAUAAUCGGAAGAAAUUCCGUCUAAUACCGCAUAACGCCCUAAGAGGACAUCCUCUUAGGGCUAAAGGAGCGAUCCGGACAGGGAUGGGCAUGCGGCGCAUUAGGCAGUUGGCGGUGUAACGGACCACCAAACCGACGAUGCGUAGGGGUUCUGAGAGGAAGGUCCCCCACGCUGGUACUGAGACACGGACCAGACUCCUACGGGAGGCAGCAGUGAGGAAUAUUGGUCAAUGGGCGGGAGCCUGAACCAGCCAAGUCGCGUGAGGGAAGACGGCCCUAUGGGUUGUAAACCUCUUUUGCCGGGGAGCAAGAGGCGCCACGCGUGGCGCCGCGAGAGUACCCGGAGAAAAAGCAUCGGCUAACUCCGUGCCAGCAGCCGCGGUAAUACGGAGGAUGCGAGCGUUAUCCGGAUUUAUUGGGUUUAAAGGGUGCGUAGGCGGGCUGUUAAGUCAGCGGUAAAAUUGCGGGGCUCAACCCCGUCGAGCCGUUGAAACUGGCGGCCUUGAGUAGGCGAGAAGUGUGCGGAAUGCGUGGUGUAGCGGUGAAAUGCAUAGAUAUCACGCAGAACUCCGAUUGCGAAGGCAGCACGCCGGCGCCUUACUGACGCUGAAGCACGAAAGCGUGGGUAUCGAACAGGAUUAGAUACCCUGGUAGUCCACGCAGUAAACGAUGAGCGCUAAUUGUCCGGGGGGAAUGACCCCUGGGUGAUACAGUGAAAACGUUAAGCGCUCCACCUGGGGAGUACGCCGGCAACGGUGCAACUCAAAUGAAUUGACGGA
rnacentral:rRNA from 1 species